rnacentral:RNase_P_RNA from 1 species
GAGGUGGGCCAGGCGACCGCGGGCGCGAGCAAUCGCGCAUGAGGAAAGUCCGGGCUCCACAGGGCAGGAUGCUGGCUAACGACCAGGCGGGGUAACCCGACGGAAAGCGCCGCAGAAAAGAAGACUCCCGCUGGCGCCGCGAGGCGUUGAGAGAAAAGCUGAAACGGUGGUGUAAGAGACCACCAGCGUCGUGGCAACACGGCGGCUUGGCAAGCCCCAUCCGGAGCAAACGCAAAUAGGAGCGCUAUGGUGUUGCCCGCACCGCGCUCGGGUUGCGCGCUAGAGGGCAGCGGCAACGCUGUUCGUAGAUAAAUGGCCGUCCACGACAGAACCCGGCUCAUAGGCCCACCUCGCGU